CCUACGGGAGGCAGCAGUGAGGAAUAUUGGUCAAUGGACGGAAGUCUGAACCAGCCAUGCCGCGUGCAGGAAGACGGCUCUAUGAGUUGUAAACUGCUUUUGUACAAGGGUAAACCUGAAUACGUGUAUUCAGCUGAAAGUACUGUACGAAUAAGGAUCGGCUAACUCCGUGCCAGCAGCCGCGGUAAUACGGAGGAUCCGAGCGUUAUCCGGAUUUAUUGGGUUUAACGGGUGCGUAGGCGGAGUGAUAAGUUAGAGGUGAAAUGUAGGAGCUUAACUCGGGAACUGCCUCUACUACUGUUGAGCUAGAGAGUAGAUGCGGUAGGCGGAAUGUGUGGUGUAGCGGUGAAAUGCUUAGAGAUCAUACAGAACACCGAUUGCGAAGGCAGCUUACCAAUCUAUAUCUGACGUUGAGGCACGAAAGCGUGGGGAGCAAACAGGAUUAGAUACCCUGGUAGUC
rnacentral:rRNA from 1 species